UUUAGCUCUCCACCAUUUCUAUCUUACCCACUAACAAGAACUCCCCGCUUCUCUUCUUCCUCGCAAACACCUCCUCCUAACUCACAACCACCCAAUCCACCACCAUCUCCUAAAUUAACCACAACUUCAUCUGAGCAGCAACCACCGGUAACUGUGCGAGAACCAAAGCCCCCCAAACCUACCACCACUGUUGAAACCACUGAUUGGAUAGCUUCCUCCUUGACCAGGCGCUUCGGCCUUGGUGCUGGCCUUGCAUGGGCUGCCUUCCUUGCUGUUGGAGUCAUCUCUGAACA
rnacentral:lncRNA from 1 species